ACAAAAAUGUUGUCAGACAGUACACGGUGGAAAAUGGUGAACAUUCUAGUAGCUGAAAUGAUGGAGAAGCAUGGAAAAAUGCCACCACACCAUAUAAGAGAAAUGUAUGCACGGGGAAUUAUCGAGCUCUUUCCAUACCUGAGGGAUCCCCAAGCCAAACAUGGCUACGAACAUUACUAUGAUUCCCAGAGCGGCCAGGGUUACCUCAGUUGGCGAAUAAAGACAGUCCAGAGAAACAGCUCGCACGGGAAAUCACCAAUCUCCAUCAAGACAUUUGAUGGAGGUCCAACAGCACAAAGACAAGUUGCAGGCACCUCACAACACUCUGAUGAAGACUGCGUCAAUGCAAUCUCCCUGAUGAAGCAUAGUGUUGAUGAAGAAACAGUCAAGCAGAAAAUGAGGAGUACCUUUCGGUAUCGAAGGAAUAUGGUUGAAGAUCCUGAAAGAUGUGGCGAUGUCCUGGCAGAAUACCCACGUUUUAAAGAUGUGAAAG